rfam:Streptomyces sparsogenes DSM 40356 contig00413, whole genome shotgun sequence.
CUUCAACGAGCCCAGCCACAGCGGCCGCCCCUCCGCACGCCCCUGCCCAUAGGUGGCCAGCAACGCCUGCGCCUC